rnacentral:rRNA from 1 species
GCAGUCGAGCGAACGGACGAGAAGCUUGCUUCUCUGAUGUUAGCGGCGGACGGGUGAGUAACACGUGGAUAACCUACCUAUAAGACUGGGAUAACUUCGGGAAACCGGAGCUAAUACCGGAUAAUAUUUUGAACCGCAUGGUUCAAAAGUGAAAGACGGUCUUGCUGUCACUUAUAGAUGGAUCCGCGCUGCAUUAGCUAGUUGGUAAGGUAACGGCUUACCAAGGCAACGAUGCAUAGCCGACCUGAGAGGGUGAUCGGCCACACUGGAACUGAGACACGGUCCAGACUCCUACGGGAGGCAGCAGUAGGGAAUCUUCCGCAAUGGGCGAAAGCCUGACGGAGCAACGCCGCGUGAGUGAUGAAGGUCUUCGGAUCGUAAAACUCUGUUAUUAGGGAAGAACAUAUGUGUAAGUAACUGUGCACAUCUUGACGGUACCUAAUCAGAAAGCCACGGCUAACUACGUGCCAGCAGCCGCGGUAAUACGUAGGUGGCAAGCGUUAUCCGGAAUUAUUGGGCGUAAAGCGCGCGUAGGCGGUUUUUUAAGUCUGAUGUGAAAGCCCACGGCUCAACCGUGGAGGGUCAUUGGAAACUGGAAAACUUGAGUGCAGAAGAGGAAAGUGGAAUUCCAUGUGUAGCGGUGAAAUGCGCAGAGAUAUGGAGGAACACCAGUGGCGAAGGCGACUUUCUGGUCUGUAACUGACGCUGAUGUGCGAAAGCGUGGGGAUCAAACAGGAUUAGAUACCCUGGUAGUCCACGCCGUAAACGAUGAGUGCUAAGUGUUAUGGGGUUUCCGCCCCUUAGUGCUGCAGCUAACGCAUUAAGCACUCCGCCUGGGGAGUACGACCGC